CAGAAUCCGGGCUAGAAGCGACG
rnacentral:snRNA from 1 species